GGGUGAUUAGCUCAGCUGGGAGAGCACCUCCCUUACAAGGAGGGGGUC
rnacentral:tRNA from 2 species